rnacentral:misc_RNA from 1 species
AACCAUAGAAACCUGCGGAGUACCUGCGGAAGGAUCAUUACCGAGCGUGGCCCCUUUUUACCAAGGGGUGCCUCCCGUCCUUUGCGGGCCCUCGCGGGCUUUUUGACUUUGCUUCGGCGGGGCUGCCCCGCCGGAACACCCUCAACAAAAUCUUUUAACCGUUCCGUCCGAGCACUAUUCAAAUACAAGAAAACUUUUAACAAUGGAUCU